CAGACACAUAAUGGGUAUGGCAGUCCAUUCUCCCUGCAGCACGGAAUACAGUGUGUCCAUCCUGCCCCGGGGCCUCCUCCCAGUGGGAGGUGGAACACCUCCCAGAAAGAACAAGAACGCGGAUACAAGCGGCGGAAAUGGGCUUCCUCCAAAAGGUGGCUGAUAUCUCCUUUAGAGAUAGGGAGUCUCGGAUGAAGUGGACAGUUGGGGAGCACGAACACAGUCACUGGAUAUCACGGAUGGAGUCGCAGCAGGAAUUGGGAGAAAAGCACUGUUUGGACUUUGCACUUUGCUUAUUCUGUGGAUUAUUGGGCACUGUAAAUAAACGCACUGUUUUGCAAUGAGAA